rnacentral:lncRNA from 7 species
GUAUGAGCAUAUCCUCAUGGCUCCAGACCCAGUACCACUGUAUGCUCUGAAACUGCUGGUGGCCCUGACUGAACACAGCCCUGCUUCUGUGAGUAGAGCAGCAUCACAAAGAAGUUGAAAUGUAAGCCACUGUGGGGAGAACACAGGCUACUAGAUAGCUAGAUUUCUCUGAAGAAAGGAGGCUGAGGCUAAAGAAGAGAUUGGAACCUGGUUCUCCCUUGCAGUUUUAAGGAAGGCAUUUGGUACCCAUUAACACAAAACACAGAAAACACUCUUUCGAAAGGGGGGAAAAAAAAAAGCUGACUUACAUGAGACUGUAAAUCCUAAAUGGAUAUUGAUUUCUGAGCCUGGAGGAUGGGAGGAUAUUGGCUAGAUCAGUCUGAUACAUGAUUUUAAACUCACAGUCUCUCCUCCUUUUUUAUGACUGGAAAUUCUGGGACCAUGAGGGCACCUAAAUCCCCAUGCAGUUCCAGCAUAGAAGUGCUACUAUUCCCAAAUGUCUUCUCAACAUUUUCCUUUUUUAUUACUACCUUUUUUUAAAGACAAAUGAUGUAUUUUAAAUGAUGUUUUUUUAUUUAUUUUUAUUAUUUAAAAUGGAGGAAGUCUUCAGAGAACUGGAAGAUAACCUUGUUAACAUAAUAUCGAGUGGUGGUGCACUACCUGCUUAAAAUUUUGUUGAAUGCUUACAAAUUGUUUUAUAGCUAUGUAGCUAGUAUUGAAUAUAUUUAUUAUAUAUUAUAAUAUUACAUAUUAUAUUUAUAUAUAAAUAUAUAUAUUUAUAUAAAGCUUUGAAUUUACC